rnacentral:rRNA from 1 species
AACGAGCGCUGGCGGCAUGCCUAACACAUGCAAGUCGAACGAUGCCUUCGGGCAUAGUGGCGCACGGGUGCGUAACGCGUGGGAAUCUGCCUUUCGGUUCGGAAUAACUCAGGGAAACUUGAGCUAAUACCGGAUAACGUCGCAAGACCAAAGAUUUAUCACCGAAAGAUGAGCCCGCGUAGGAUUAGCUAGUUGGUGAGGUAAAGGCUCACCAAGGCGACGAUCCUUAGCUGGUCUGAGAGGAUGAUCAGCCACACUGGGACUGAGACACGGCCCAGGCUCCUACGGGAGGCAGCAGUGGGGAAUAUUGGACAAUGGGCGAAAGCCUGAUCCAGCAAUGCCGCGUGAGUGAUGAAGGCCUUAGGGUUGUAAAGCUCUUUUACCCGGGAAGAUAAUGACGGUACCGGGAGAAUAAGCCCCGGCUAACUCCGUG